rnacentral:snRNA from 1 species
GUGUUCAUUUCAGGUGUACAGCAGCACAUCUACUAAAAUUGAAACAAUACAGAGAAGAUUAGCAUGGCCCCUGCCCAAG